GAUAAACGCUGGCGGCGUGCUUAACACAUGCAAGUCGAACGAAGUUUUUCUUUCGGGAGGAACUUAGUGGCGGACGGGUGAGUAACGCGUGGGUAACCUGCCCUGUACAGGGGGACAACAGCUGGAAACGGCUGCUAAUACCGCAUAAGCCCUUAGCACUGCAUGGUGCAUAGGGAAAAGGAGCAAUCCGGUACAGGAUGGACCCGCGUCUGAUUAGCCAGUUGGCAGGGUAACGGCUUACCAAAGCGACGAUCAGUAGCCGAUCUGAGAGGAUGUACGGCCACAUUGGGACUGAGACACGGCCCAGACUCCUACGGGAGGCAGCAGUGGGGAAUAUUGCACAAUGGAGGAAACUCUGAUGCAGCGACGCCGCGUGAGUGAAGAAGUAUUUCGGUAUGUAAAGCUCUAUCAGCAGGAAAGAAAAUGACGGUACCUGACUAAGAAGCACCGGCUAAAUACGUG
rnacentral:rRNA from 1 species